GAUGAACGCUGGCGGCGUGCCUAAUACAUGCAAGUCGAGCGAACAGACGAGGAGCUUGCUCCUCUGACGUUAGCGGCGGACGGGUGAGUAACACGUGGAUAACCUACCUAUAAGACUGGGAUAACUUCGGGAAACCGGAGCUAAUACCGGAUAAUAUAUUGAACCGCAUGGUUCAAUAGUGAAAGACGGUUUUGCUGUUACUUAUAGAUGGAUCCGCGCCGCAUUAGCUAGUUGGUAAGGUAACGGCUUACCAAGGCAACGAUGCGUAGCCGACCUGAGAGGGUGAUCGGCCACACUGGAACUGAAACCCGGUCCAGACUCCUAGGGUGGGCAGCAGUAGGGAAUCUUGCGCAAUGAGCGGAAGCCUGACGGAGCAACGCCGCGUGCGUGAGGAAGGUCUUCGGAUCGUAAAACUCUGUUAUUAGGGAGGAACAAAUGUGUAAGUAACUAUGCACGUCUUGACGGUACCUAAUCAGAGAGCCACGGCUAACUACGUG
rnacentral:rRNA from 1 species